rnacentral:tmRNA from 1 species
GGGCUUGAAAGGAUUCGACAGGAUUCACGAAGGUUCAGUAAGCAAGCAGAGGAUUCCGUUGGCCUCUUAAAAAAGCGGAAACUUAAUAAUCGCAAACACUGACGAUUACUCUUACGCUGUAGCGGCGUAAGCCUGAAGGGAGAAGUUGCCUAUCGGUUCUCUCGAAAGGUCAUUAAGAUGGGCUAGACUCCUAAGCUUUUUAUAGGCGUUAGAGCAGCGAGUUGAAGUUAAACCGUACCUCUCUGAAUCUGUGGCUUGUCCAGUGCAUACCUUCGGAGUACUUAAACUGGAAUAAGCUUGUAGAAGUCUGAAUUAGACGUUUCUUGGACCCGACUCUCGGAUGUCGGCAGGUCCACCA